ACUAUAUGAAACUACAUCAAAAUGGCCAAUAUUUGGUCAACACGACCAACAGUCUGCAGUUUUAGCUAUGCUACUCAAAUUUUCAAAAUACAUUAAAAUUAAAAUUGUCGAUAUCAAACUUUAGGUUUAUGUUACCUAAAUCCAGAAAAUUACCCGGAAAUAUGCUACAUAAUUUGGCGGAGGCCCACCAAAAUUGGGGUUUCUCAUUGUUUCGCACAAGCAAUCGUGAAAACCGUCCCCAAACAUCUGAUGUCUGCCGUAAUACUAAGACUGACCUGCGUGGUGCCCCGGGCCAUCAUGACUGAUGAGAAACAUGGAAAAAAAAGUAGUAGUAGAAGAAGAAGCUGGGCAAAUUUUUCAUCAAAUCCAGAAACUACAGUGAGCAUCAGGUACUCGGCCAGUUCUUUUACCGACGGAAAUUGGUCGACGUGGAUGAAAGAAUGAGGGGGAGCCAAGGCCUCGUAAUCCUGCACCGGUGCGCCCAGGACGACGGGAACUGCCCCCGACUGUUGCUGACCACCCAACACACCAGAAAGCUUUUAUUGUGUGCGAUGUCCCGCACGGGAUCUUCUUCCUCAGCCUCUUUCGCCAGCCGCUCUCCGUAAGGUCUCCGUUGUGACGAGGGGACUCCAUAGACAUCCAAGCCCACCUUUGGCCUGAUGGCCUGGGAAGAUUCAGAGGAAGUUUCUCCCGUCCUGUGACCAAUUCGUAGUUGUGGAACACCACCACGUCCGCGGUGGGAAACA